AGAUUAAGCCAUGCAUGUCUAAGUGCAAGCCGUCCCGUACGGUGAAACCGCGAAAGGCUCAUUAAAUCAGUUAUGGUUCCUUAGAUAGUACCCACAUUACUUGGAUAACUGUGGUAAUUCUAGAGCUAAUACAUGCCGACAGAGUUCUGACCAGCGCCGCGGUGGCUUGUCCGCCGUCGGUGUUCGGAAGGAACGCUUUUAUUAGAUCAAAACCGGCCGGGUGGCUGUCCGCUUGUCGGGCACGUCGCCAGUGGCCCGCGCAAUGACUUGGUGACUCUGAAUAACUUUGAGCUGAUCGCACGGCCUCGUGCCGGCGACGUAUCUUUCAAAUGUCUGCCUUAUCAACUGUCGAUGGUAAGUUCGACGCUUACCAUGGUGUUAACGGGUAACGGGGAAUCAGGGUUCGAUUCCGGAGAGGGAGCCUGAGAAACGGCUACCACAUCCAAGGAAGGCAGCAGGCGCGUAAAUUACCCACUCUUCGUUCGAGGAGGUAGUGACGAAAAAUAACGAUACGGGACUCUUUUGAGGCCCCGUAAUCGGAAUGAGCACACUUUAAAACCUUGGUCACGCAAGGAUCAAU
rnacentral:rRNA from 1 species